rnacentral:misc_RNA from 1 species
GCCAGUUUUUACAACAACUUGUCUCUGAAGGAUAUUUCUAUAUGGUUUUGUAACAACCUUAAAUCCUUGCCUGAAGGUCUUCAUAAACUGAGCAAUCUCCGUGAGAUUUCAAUAUCUUACUGUUCAAAUGUUGUUUUCUUCCCAGGAGGGUUGCCUGCCAGCCUGAGAAGGCUCAUUAUCAUUGAAUGUGAGAAACUCGAGGCCAUCCCUGAUCGCAUGUAUAACCUCACAUCUCUUCAAGAAUUGAGGAUAACUUACUGUCCCCACAUUGUAUCCUUCCCAGAAGAGGGUCUUCCUACCAGCCUAACUUCUCUUUGGAUAAUAGAUCUUAAGAUCU